GUUUGUGUUGCCACUGAAAAGUGCACCAAUUGUUUAUAGCUCCCAAGGAGAACCUGAAUGCAUUUUUUAUGUUGGAAAACUUAUUUUUUAGUGAUUUUUCUUUGGGACGAAAUGAGCAUAUGAAAGAACACUCCAAAGAAAAGGAAUUAUUACAGCAAAUUAAAAGGAACAUAAGUAUUAUGAUUUAAUUACUAUCUUGUCUUUAUAAAUGCCAUCUCCUGUUUUACUUUUUUUUUAAUUAAAAGCUCUUUAAAAAGUCUUGUCUUUUGGUGUUAUUUUGGAAGUGUGUUACUUUUCUUUUGGAAGAUUUCAAGUUUAAGAUUUUAUAAUAUGAGAUAGUAAUAUUUAAGUCCUUCCAGCUAUUAAAGAGAUAUUUGGUUUAGCAAGUAGUUUAGCCUGUUUUUAAAAAAAUCAUUAAAAAUCUUCUUUGUUUAUAAAAUACCACACUAUAAAUUAUGUUAUUUGGUUGUAAAGGUGUCUGGUGGUUGAGAUACAGUGAAGAAAAUUUGGAAAAUGUGAAAUCAGUUCUUGCGUUCUUAUAUUUUAUUUAGCAAAAUUGAACCUGACUUGUUAGCUACUAACAUAAUCAAAAAUAACAUACCAAGGGUUUUGAGUCUACAUAAAGGUUUUUUCCCCCCAAUACCUAGACUCUUAAAAGUCAGCACAAGGUAUUCUGUUCAUCUACUGAGUUUCCUCCUCAUAUUUUAAAACUUUUUAAAAUGCUAAGGUACUUGGAUAUGGUUUUCUGGAAUAACUGGGAACCCACAUCAAAUUAUUUUGUGAGAUAUGAGUCAGGUACUAUAUUUAGACAACAUUAACUUUAAAUCCUAACUUUAAAUCCUUUAAAUCCACCAUUUUCUGCCUACAUGUGACCUAGGCAACUGUUUUGACCAUCUUUGUGCUUCAGACUUCCCACUUACUAGAACAGGACAAGGAUUCCUCAUAGAUUGUUGUGAGGAAUAAACACAAAAACAUGAAAUUCCAAGAUUCUAAAAAUUCCUUGUUUGUGGCCCCCUUACCUCCAGUAAAUAAAUGGCUGGUGGAUUUCUUAAAGAGUAUCAUAUUGAAAAAUUGGCAUUUUUAUUUAUUAGUCUGCCAUGGGGUCAGAUGUUUACUUACCAGAGGGUCCACAUGCUGAAGUUCUGCCUUCCUUGUCUUUUUAGAGGAACAUAGGUGGAAAAGUUUGAAAAUCUCAGGCUUCAGUAGUUUUACGAUUCCCAAAGCUAUCCUGUUUCUGUUUGGUUCCUAUCACACCCUUUAGCUCUUCAUAGCUUAUAAGUAGCCCUCCUGUCCUUGAUCAUGACCUCAUAAUGUUCCCCCUUCUUCUCCUCCUUUGUGGUUCCCUAAGUCAGUCAGUGUCACCAGUCCACCCCCUGCCUUAUCCUAGAAACCUGCUCAUUACUUGUUUCACCCUGUCACAUUUCACAUCACCCUCAUCACUAAAUCAUCACAUCCCCAUUGACGCACCCCACUCCUGAUACCGAUUUCUGUACAUCUCUUCAAAUUGCAAGUGACAGCACAAACAACUCAAACUAGUACC
rnacentral:lncRNA from 1 species